AAAGAAAGGAGAUUAGUGAAUACAUGUCUAUUUGAGAGCAAAUUCCAUUUUGAUCAAAACACCAGCUCCAUGCCCUGGCGAUGAGUCCUCUUUCAUGCGUCUUGUGAUGCUGACCUGUAAGUGCUCCAUAAUGUAAGGCUUUAUUCGUUAAUAGAUUAUUGCUCACAGUGAAUCCACGAAGUAACCAAUCCCCAUUUCUCCCUCUUCAUGUCUCUCAAAACCACACACACCAUCCAUUCUUUCUGUUUCCCUUGCCAUGUUCCUUAUCAAAACACAUCAACUGCCAUCUGGACCAGGGAUAGGAACGCUAAGCCAGACUCCUUGUCUCCAAUCUCUUCUCCCACUUCCUAAUCCAUCUGGGAUACAAGAUCCAGAGAAAGCUAAUGAAAAACCACCUUAGUGAUGUCAUUCUGCUGCUCGGAAAUGUCAACACUUUCUUGAUGGCUCACCUGGAAACGAAGUUCUUCUCUUCUAGUGCCACACUCCAUUUCCAGGCCUGUCUCCAAAAACCAUGAUCCAGCCAGUCUAGAAUGCAAAACCUCUGAAAAGU
rnacentral:lncRNA from 10 species